rnacentral:rRNA from 1 species
GACGAACGCUGGCGGCGUGCUUAACACAUGCAAGUCGAACGGAAAGGCCCUGCUUUUGUGGGGUGCUCGAGUGGCGAGCGGGUGAGUAACACGUGAGUAACCUGCCCUUGACUGUGGGAUAACUUCAGGAAACUGGGGCUCAUACCGGAUAGGAGCUCCUGCUGCAUGGUGUGGGUUGGAAAGUUUCGGCGGUUGGGGAUGGACUCGCGGCUUAUCAGCUUGUUGGUGGGGUUGUGGCUUACCAAGGCUUUGACGGGUAGCCGGCCUGGGGGGGUGACCGGCCACACUGGGACUGAGGGACGGCCCAGACUCCUACGGGAGGCAGCAGUGGGGAAUAUUGCACAAUGGGCGGAGGCCUGAUGAAGCAAGGCCGCGUGCGGGAUAACGGCCUUCGGGUUGUAAACCGCUUUCGCAUGUGACGAAGCGUGAGUGACGGUAAUGGGUAAAGAAGCACCGGCUAACUACGUG